rnacentral:rRNA from 1 species
GACGAACGCUGGCGGCGGGCUUAACACAUGCAAGUCGAACGGAAAGGCCCUGCUUUUUUGGGGUGCUCGAGUGGCGAACGGGUGAGUAACACGUGAGUAACCUGCCCUUGACUUUGGGAUAACUUCAGGAAACUGGGGCUAAUACCGGAUAGGAGCUCCUGCUGCAUGGUGGGGGUUGGAAAGUUUCGGCGGUUGGGGAUGGACUCGCGGCUUAUCGGCUUGUUGGUUGGGUAGUGGCUUACCAAGGCUUUGACGGGUAGCCGGCCUGAGAGGGUGACCGGCCACAUUGGGCCUGAGAUACGGACCAGACUCCUACGGGAGGCAGUAGUGGGGAAUAUUGCACAAUGGGCGGAAGCCUGAUGCAGAAACGUCGCGUGCGGGAUGACGGCCUUCGGGUUGUAAACCGCAUUCGCCUGUGACGAAGCGUGAGUGACGGUAAUGGGUAAAGAAGCACCGGCUAACUACGUG